GGGAUCCUGCGAGCGUUGGUCCCCGGCGGGCGUCAGCCAUCCGGGGCCGUCACGACCGGUGGAGAGAGACGCGAGAGGACUGCUUCGACGUUCGCUCCCUGUCGACGAGGGACGAACGGCGACAGGGCUCCAGGGGCCGUCCCCCGCGCCGUGACAUGGCACCGCCCUUCCGGCCGUUGCAGGCCAGAGUCCGCGACCGCCCCCAGCGGCGGUGGCUGGAAGCGCGGCUUUUGUAUUGGCAGUGCGGGGCUCCGCGCCGCGCGCCCCAGCGGCCGGGACCGAGGCGGGUGCCCGCCCGAGGCCCGAGGGCUGUGGCUAACGGCCUGGGGGAAGAUGGCGGCCGCCGGUGGGCGAGGGGACGGCGGACCGUGCUGGGCACUUCGGUCGCGUGCUCGGAGCGGCUGGGAACGCAGGCCUGAGUUUUCCCAGAAGCCGCCCAGGCCCGCGACCGCGCUCGGCCGUUCCACGAAGCUCUAGCUUUGCAGUGCCCACUUGGCUGGUCCCGGUCUUGUCCAUGAACGGAAUUACAGGGAAGGAGAAAGAAAACAGACCGAGCCAGCAGGAGCAGGAGUCGCCCCCGGAGAGUCAUGGCCAGGCAGGGUCACUCAACCUGGGCAGGGGUCAUUGUGGCCCCGGGGAACACAGGCGGGGUAGGUCGUUUCUGCCAGGGAGCCACAAGUAGGCGGAGCUGCUCAUGCGGCACUGGGGCAGGUGUCUAAAUGACCCCAAGGAGCCGUGGGGAGUGGGACUCACUCAUUCAGGGUCAUGUGGACCUCGCGGAGCCAUGGCCAGGCAAGGUCACUCAUCCCUGCAGGGGCAGAGGGUACAGUGGCCCACGUUGGUGACAAGGACACCAGGCCCUGGUGUCCGGAACAGUUUGCUCCCAUCAUGGGAGGAUGCACUUCACCUCAUGAACUGAACAGACCUCUGACAGGCUCCAGCUCCUGCUACCAGAGAAGUAGGUUCGCCCUGAGGGAGGAUGGGGCCGCACCCAGGACAGAAAAGGCAUAAGUCAGAGGAUGCUGACUGGGGGCCAGCCAGACAUGGUGACCACAGAAGCCGAGACCCUCUCUGCUGGGAGCAGAGUACAAGCCUUAUCCCUAAAUUUAGCCUGUAGCAAUCCUUUAUGUGCAGUCCUGAGGGACCAUGGCACUUCCCAAGGAAGGCAGCCCCGUAGAAUGCGUGGUAGAAGGACCCUCUACCUGGACAGACUUGCACUGGGGGCACUUCCUGUGUGACCUUGACUUCCAGGAGGAGCCUGAUUCCUGCACCAGUGAGCACCUCUUCAUGCAGACGGCAGAGGUCAUGGCCUCCCACGGCUGGAAGAACACAGGUUCUGAGGACCUCUGCACUGGCCACUCUGGAUAGCUCCCCAAAGAGACUGAAAAGGCACACUUCAGGGAGACCCUCAGUGCAUUUGUGGUGGGAGCUGCCGCCAGGCUGAUUAUGUCCAUGGCAAAGGGCCGAAGCCAGGGAUCGAUGCAGAUGUUGGAAAUGUAACCUGCAAGGGUUUCCUGGGAGCUUGGACACUGUGACAUGAUGCCCAGUCCUUGGCUGACUGGGAGCAGAUCUGCAGAAGUGCCGCUGCUGUCACGUGACUGUGGGAGACAUUUGGCAGAUGGUCAGAAGCAGGUCACUGGCUCUGAAUGGGACCAGCAAAAGCAUCGUAUGCGCCUGUGAGUGGCCCCUUUACACUGUACCCUGUCAUGGUCCCAAUUACACAGAAAUCUGACAGCACUGUAAUUACUGGAGAAAUUCUACAAACAUCUACAAUUCCUGGGAAAGUAUAAACGGCAUCUUGACCUGAAUAGCUUCUAACCAGGAAAGGAUUGUUAAUGUCGCUGGACCAGGGAUUGGAAUGACCCAGAUAAGUUAGAGAUGGGCAACUUUGGCCUCAGCUGGGGCAGCAGUGAUGCAGAUGGCCCCUGGCCAUCAGGGCAGCUCUUUUGCCCGUGCCUGACGACCUCUGACACAUCAUCCCUCAAACCAAGGCUCUGCUUCAGGACAAGGACGUAACUGCCAUCACCUAGGACCCCUGGGCAAGCAGGACUCUGUACUCAGAAAGGAAGGUGGUGUGCACCUCUCUCUGGUGAGGCCAGGGCUGUGGCCAUAGUAAAUCUGCAGGAGAUGGGAGGACUCUGCUCUCACUCUGCCUGGCCUGCUGCUCUGGGCGGAGGCCAAGCUUGUCAGCUGGCCUGCCAGGUUGCCCAGCUCCUCUCUGUGAAGAGGGAGCUUGGGCUCUUGAUCAGGCUUUGGCCUUGAAAACUUGUAUAACAAACCAGACCAUAGAAAAAAAGUGGACUUUAGUGGCCAGGGCUUAGCUAGGCGGCAUAGCAUGUACCAAUCCUGCACAAGGCCCCGGGUUCACACCCCAGUAUCCCCCAAAAUCCAUCUUAAAAUGUACAGUAUACAGUAUACAGUAGUUCCAAUUUCAGAAAAUGUUAUUCAAGGAUAUAGCUGUAUUGCUGCUAAGUGACCAACAGGUGGGCAUUGUAUACGGCAUGGACACACUGGACAAGGACAACAGGUGUCUUGGCGAGGUGGAGCUGCCCAGGCAAGGGCCAUGCAGGGCCUACGGAUCGCCCAUCUCUGGCCUCCCGCUUACCAAUUCUGAAGCACAGUGGGCCACAGUACGGCAGCGGAGAGGGCUUGCAGGUGGAGGUCUGCUGACAUUGUCAGGUGAUGACCCUGCCCCUCCCUCCUCCUCCACCCUCACUUAAAAAGCUGUUUUCUUGAAUAACAUUUUCUGAAGUUGGAACUCUUUUAAAGCAAACAAAAGUCUUACCUGGCUCUCUGUUUACUACUCAGACCACUUAACAAUAAAGCAAACAUGAUUUAUUUUUAUUUUUAUUUUUCUUGGGGUCUUGCUGUCUUGCCCAGGCUGCCAGGAUAUUUGGGCUUGUGCAAUCCACCUGCCUCAGCCUUCAAAGCUGGGACUACAGGCACUGCUGCCACCCCUGGCUUAAAAAACAAUUUCAGGGGCUGGAUUGCUGUGUGAGGUUGUUUUUUGUUGUUGUUGUUUUAAGUACAGGGGAUUGAACUCAGGAGCACUCGACCACUGAAUCACAUCCCCAGCCCUAUUUUAUAUUUCAUUUAGAGGCAGGGUCUCUCAGAGUUGCUUAGCACCUCAGUUUUGCUGAGGCUGACUUUGAACUCAUGAUCCUCCUGCCUCAGCCUCCCAAGCUGCUGGGAUUAUAGGCAUGUGCCACCGUGCAUGGCCUGCUGUGUGACUUUUGUUUGUUGGUCUUUAACUCAAAGAAAUUUUAAAAAUAAUUGGUGAUGCCAGGGGCGGUAGUGCAUGCCUGUGAUUCCAGCAGCCCAGAGGCUGACACAGGAGGAUGGCAAGUUCCAAGCCAGCCUCAGCAACUCAGUGAGGUCCUGUCUCAAAAAAUAAAAAGGACAGGUGAUGUGGCUUAGUGGUUAAAGUGUCCGUGGGUUCACCCUCCAGUACCAAAUUUUUUUUUAAAAGUCUAAAAAAUUUGUGAGUAUUAAAUUUCUAUGGUAUUUAUAUUAAAAGUGAUAGUUUAUAAUAUUUAAAAUGCCAGUAUUUUGUCUUUUUUUUUUUAAUAUUUAUUUUUUAGUAUUUGGCAGACCCAACAUCUUUGUUUGUGGUGCUGGGGAUCGAACCCGGGCCGCACGCAUGCCAGGUGAGCGCGCUACCGCUUGAGCCACAUCCCCAGCCCUAAAAUGCCAGUAUUGAUAAUAUGCUGAAAAUUAAAACUACUUCAAUUACACUUAAAAUGAAAAACUUCACAAGUAUCUGGGUUCAAUCCCCAGCAUAUCUCUCUCUCUCUCUCUGUCUCUCUCUCUCUCUCUCUCUCUCACACACACACACACACACACGCACACAAAAUAAAAUUUUUAGAUAUCUACUCAAAAUGUGUUGGUAACAUGAUUUUUUCCCAAUAUUCAUUUCUAGUUGUAGUUGGACAAAAUACCUUUAUUUUAUAUAUUUUAUGUGGUGCUGAGGAUCGAACCCAAGCCCUCACACAUGUUAAGUGAAUGCUCUACUGCUGAGCCCCAGCCCCAGCCCAGGUAACAUGAUUUUUAAAAAUUAUUUUUGGAAGCCAGGUAUAGUGGUGCAUACCUGUAAUCGCAGCAGCUCAGGAGGCUGAGGCAGGAAUAUUGUGAGUUCAAAGCCAGCCUCAGCAAUGGCGAGGUGCUAAGUAACUCAGUGAGACCCUGUCUCUAAAUAAAAUACAAACAGGGCUGGGGAUGUGGCUCAGUGGUCAAGUUCCCCUGAGUUCAAUCCCUGUUACCCCCCAAAAAAAUACAUAUAGUGCUGGGCCAGGUGGUAUACACCUAUAAUUCCAGCGGCUCAGGAGACUGAGGCAGGAGGAUAUGAGUAUUGUGAGGAUUGUGAGUUCAAAGCCAGCCUCAGCAACUUAGCAGGGCCCUAAGCAACCUAGAGAGACCCUUUCUCCAAAUAAAACAUAAAAAAGGGCUGGGGAUGUGGCUCCUUGAUUGAGGACCCCUGGGUUUAAUUCCUGGUACCUGGCCCCCAAAGUGGUGCUGGACAACUGGACUGUGGUGUGACAGAGGGGUUUCGACCUGCCUCACACCAUAUGUAAAGAUCAGCUCAAGAGUGGGGGCGCAUAGCUCUGUGGUAGAGGGCAUGCGUACCACAUGAAAGGUCCUGGGCUCUGUCACCAACAUGAAAGAAAAAUCAACUCAAAAUGAAUGAAGAUUCAGGUCUAAAAACUAAAACUGUACAAGUCCCAGAAGAAAAUAGCAGAAAAUGUUAACGAUUUUGGAGUAGCCAUUAAUUUCUUAGAUAUAACACCAAAAGCACAUGUAAAAAAACAGGGGCUGGGGUUGUGGCUCAGCGGUAGAGCGCUAGCCUGGCAUGCACGAGGCCCUGAGUUCGAUCCUCAGCACCAAUAAAAAUAAACAAAAUAAAGGUAUUGUGUACAACUAAAAAAUAAGUAUUAAAAAUAGAAAAGCACAUAUAAAAAAAAACCAGAAAAAUUAGGUGUCUCUCACUAAAGGAUACCAACAACUAAGUAAAAAGACAAUCCACAGACUCAUAGAAAAUAUACAAAUCCUAUGUCAGACAAGGAUCUAAUGUCCAGAAUAUAUAAAGAACUCUCACAAUUCAACAAUUAAAAGACAAAUAACCCAGUUAAAGAAUGAACUAAGGAUUUGAACUGACAUGUCUGUAAAGAAGACAGACAAAUGUCCUGUAAGUACUCAAAGAUGCUCAACAUUAUUGGUUACUGGGGAAAUGCAAAUCAAAACCACAGUGAGAUACCACCUCACACCCAUGAAGAUGGCUAAAAUAAAAAAGAUGGACCAUAACCCACAGGAUGGACCAUAACCCGCAUUGAAGAGGAUGUGGAGAAAUCUGAGCGUCCGCACUCUGCUGGGGAAGUGGAAAUGGGCAGAGUUUGGGAGUUUCUCAGUUAGGCAGAGUUGUUCCAUGAGCCAGCAAUUCUGUGGUGGCAAAACCAGACCUGGUUGUGAAAUGAAAUUACAAAACAUUAUGGUAAGAAACCAAGGCCUGGGGAGGGGUCAGUUUUGCCCACCUCUCUCAGCCUUUCUCCAGGAAGCCUAAUUAACCAGGAGUCCCUACUUUAUGGAUUGUAAAUAACUGCCCUAGUCUGGCCAGUCCCUCUUAAAUGUAACAGAGGCCUGUAAGAAAAAGCCAUUUCCUGUCUGUUUCUGUGAGGGUGCUUCACGUUAGAGACCCAAACAGGCCUUCAGCCACUUAGGAAUUUUAGGGGGGAUGGUGGUGGUUUAGGGGAUUGAACUCAGGGGCACUUGACCACUGAGCCACACCCCAGCCCUGUUUUGUAUUUUAUUUAGAGACAGGGUCUCACUGGGUUGCUUAGGGCCUCGCUGUUGCUGAGGCUGGCUUUGAACUCACGAUCCUCCUGCCUCAGGCUCCAAGCUGCUGGGAUUACUGGCGUGCACUACCACCCCUGGCUAGAUUAGGAUUUUGUUGUUUUUUUGUGGUGCUGGGGACUGAACCCAGGGCUUUGUGCAAGCACUCUACCAACUGAGCUACAUCCUCAGACCCAGGAAUUUUUUUAAAAAGAGGAAAAAGCCCCAAGGAUAGGAUUGGUCUAAGAUGACGUCAAUAACCUAUAAAUGUUGUGAGAAACUACUCAGAAUCGGGAGUUUUUGUUUUCCUCUGGGCCCACUAGUGUAAAAUAAAGUUUGGAGUUCUCCUUCUGAGUGCUGCUUGCUGCUGCUGGACGGGUCUGUUUCCCACAACAAUUCCACUCCUGCAUCCGGGAGAGGUACAACGUGUCUACAGAAACUCCUGUGCACAAAUGUUCAUACCAAGCUUUACAUAGUAGUUAGAGGUGGGAACAAUCGAUGUCUAUGAACUGAUGUACGUAUAAACAAAAUGUGAUAAUCCAUCCCUACGAUGGAACAUUAUUUGGCCAUAAAAAGGGAAUGAUGUAGGGCUGCGGAUGUGGCUCAAGCAGUAGUGUGCUCACCUGGCAUGCAUGCAGCCCGGGUUCAAUCCUCAGCACCACAUACAAAGAUGUUGUGUUCGUCGAAAACUAAAAAAUGAAUAUUGAAAAAAUUCUCUCUCUCUUAAAAAAAAAAAAAAGGAAAUGAUGUACUGAUACAUGCACACAUAGGGAUAAACCUCGAAGACAUUACGCCAGGUGACAGGAGACCAUAUGCUGACCAGAGCUUCCUGUGUAACAUGUGCAGGGGACGCAAAUCCACACAUUCGGAAGUUAGAAGAGUGGAGCUGGGGAUAGGGAGUAGGGAGUGGAGAGUAGCUACUAAUGGUACAAGGCUUCUUUGAGGGGUAAUGAAAUGUUGUGAAGUUAGUGCUGCUGGUUAUGCAGUUCUGAGCACCACAAAAGUCUGUGGACUCUAUCUCAAUAAAAAUCUUGUUUCAAGUUUGGAAGCUGGGUGUGGUGGUGCACACCUGUCAUCUACACACACGAGUAUGUGAAUGUAAGUCAUAUAGUAGUUGCAACUCUUUGUUGUUGGUGGUGAUGGUGCAGGGAAAUCAGACCCAGGCCUCGUGCAUGCUAGGCAAGCCUGUCCCAGCCAAACUUAGACCAUCUCAUCGUUGGCAUUUUCCAUGUCUUCACACAGUCUCUGUAAUCAUGACCACAGAGCACCCACAGUGGUCAGUACAGAGGGUUGGCCAGUCCCUCUAGCCCAGCACUCUGUGAGUGAGCUCCUUGGAGGCCACAGUCCUCUUCGGUUUGGAAUUCUUUCUGGAAGAGCGUCCCAGCAUAGUCAGGUUGAAGCAGCCGUCCUGGGCCAGAGCUUCUGGGUUGGAGUUGAGUGGCCGAGGGUCUGGCCGGGUCCCUGGCCACCUGUUCCUGAUGUCAUCACAGAAUGGCAGGAGGAAGGUGGUGGCUGCCCCAUCUUGAUACCAAAGAGCAACCAGCAAGUGGCCAGAUACCAGUGGACAGAAGCAUGCCACUAUAGCCCCUUCCUGGGGCUUUCUGGGACUCUUCAAUCCUCUUUGAUAGCGGAGUCUCCAAACUUGGGUAAAGAAAGGUGAAACUCUUAACUCCCUGGGAGCCUGGGAAAUGGACUACACGCCCAGACUUGGCCGGCAACCACCAUGCCAUGCAGGCAGAGAUCGGAAGAGUUAGCAAGAAUAAGCACAGCCACUGGAGGAAGAAGAUGCAGUCCCAGCACCGGGUCCAAAGAGGGCCAGGCCAAAGGAGGUUCCAUUUUGUGUCAGAUUGGAAGACAAACAAAAGUUUGGUAACAUCCAUGUUUGCAGGAUGAAACAGAAAUCCGAUGCUCCUGGUCAUUGUUGCCCGGAGUGUAAACAGUUUCUCAUUUCCAGAGGGCAAUCGGCAAGGUCUGUCAACAUUUGAAUAUUUGUGCUCUUGACUCAUCACUUCUGCACUGGGAAUCUGCCCCAGGGAGAUACAGACAAAAUAGGCCCCAAUCAUGUGCAAAGCUGUCCCCUGCAACAUUGUUACAACAAGGAACAGAAAGUGCUGGAGCUCGGGGCAGCUCCCUCAGCCAGCGGACCUGGACCUGGGGGGCAAGGUCGGGCUCACAGACAGGGUAGAACUGUGCGCUUUGAGAAAAGACCGGCACUGCCGGCAGCCCCAUUUGUGUUAGACUGAAACAGUAGACACAGACCUUUCCCAGGAGGGCCACAAAACCAGGGACUGUGACUUUUGCAGAGUGGUUCUGGGGCAGGGAGAAGGUGAUGUUCUCACUGUGACACUUUUCUGCCGUUGAAAUGUUUAUUCCGGAUGAAUGUGAGACUACAUUAAAAUACAGAAAGCUUUGCAA